GAUGAAGAACGUAGCGAAAUGCGAUAAGUAAUGCGAAUUGCAGAAUUCGGUGAGUCAUCGAAUCUUUGAACGCACAUUGCGCCCUGUGGUAUUCCGCAGGGCAUGCCUGUUCGAGCGUCAUUUCAACCCUCAAGCCUCGCUUGGUGUUGGGCCCUGCCCGCCGCGGCCGGCCCUAAAGAUAGUGGCGGCGCCGCCUGGCCCUCAGCGUAGUACAGCUCUCGCUCCAGGGUCCGGCGGUAGCCUGCCAGAACCCCCCAACUCUGUGGUUGACCUCGGAUCAGGUAGGGAUACCCGCUGAACUUAAGCAUAUCAAUAAGCGGAGGA
rnacentral:misc_RNA from 1 species